AGUCUUCAAGGGACAGUUAAUGAGUCCUGAUGUUGCUGCAGAUGGAUCAUCUUUUUUGUAAGAUCUUUAUGAUCAAAUACACAAAGCAAGGGCUCUAGAAGACUGCUACUAAUAAUGUGAGAGAAGAUGGGAGACUGGAACUUGUUGGGGAGCAUCUUAGAAGAGGUCCACAUUCAUUCGACUAUUGUGGGGAAAAUCUGGCUCACUAUCCUCUUUAUCUUCCGGAUGCUUGUACUUGGCGUUGCAGCAGAGGAUGUUUGGGACGAUGAGCAAAGUGAGUUUGUCUGCAACACAGAGCAGCCAGGCUGCAAGACUGUCUGCUAUGACCAGGCAUUCCCUAUCUCCCUCAUACGCUACUGGGUCCUGCAGAUCAUCUUUGUGUCCUCUCCCUCACUGGUCUACAUGGGCCAUGCUCUGUAUCGCCUGAGAACCCUUGAAAAAGAGAGGCACAGAAAAAAGGCCUGCCUGAAGGCAGAGCUGGAGGGGGCAGAUACUGACCAAGAGGACCACAAGAGAAUCGAGCGGGAGCUCAGGAAGUUAGACGAACAGAAGAAAGUCAGGAAAGCUCCGCUCAGAGGAUCAUUGCUGCGCACAUAUGUUUUUCAUAUCCUGACCAGGUCUGUGGUGGAGGUGGGUUUCAUCAUUGGUCAGUGUGCUCUUUUUGGCAUUGGAUUAUCUCCUCUGUACAAGUGUGAGAGACUGCCGUGCCCCAACAGUGUUGACUGUUUUGUGUCAAGGCCUACAGAGAAAAAUAUUUUUAUGGUGUUCAUGCUUGUCAUUGCCGGAGUGUCUUUAUUUCUCAACCUUCUGGAGAUUUUCCAUCUGGGUGUGAAGAAGAUCAAGCAAAUCCUUUAUGGAUACAAAUAUGGAGAUGAUGACAGUGUCUGCAGGUCAAAGAAAAAUUCUAUAGUGCAACAGAUUUGUGUUCUGACAAACUCCUCACCACAAAGGCUGAUCCAGCUGACUCAAGUUGCCAAUCCUGUUUCAUCAGAUCCUUACAAGGAUGCUCAAAGAGAUGUGCUGCCUUGUAACUUGGUUCCACUAGGUUGCCAGAACACAGAAGGCAUGGACAUCUCACAGCAGCAUCCUGGACAGACGUUCCGGCCGAGCCAAGGUGACAUCCAGCAUUUGAGGCAACUGGGGGCUGUGGAGCGGCGGCACACUCUGGAGAAUAGAAAACCGUCCUUCAGCAGCGAUGAGUCAAACGGACCUCAUUGCUCUGGUAAACCUCACUUUGCAGGACCGCGAGCAACGCUGGUGGCCAGCCAUAUUGAGAUCCCAGCUGCCCUGAGGAUCCCUCAGAGGAAGCAGAGUAAAGUCAGUGUCUGCAAGGAACUCAGCGACAUGAGUGAUUCUCCAGAGAGCGACCACUAUCCCACAGCCAGGAAGUGCAGCUUUAUGUCCCGAGGACUGUCAGAGGCCAAGCUCGCCAGUCCGUCUGACAGCGGCGCCUCUCAGAGUGGAACAGAUACCGAAGCCCAGCACUUCAACCAGGGGGAAAGCCCAGUGAUGACCCCACCACCCCCCACCUCUGGGAGGAGGAUGUCCAUGAGCAUGAUUCUGGAGUUGUCUUCAAUCAUGAAGAAGUGAACCAGAAACAUCCAUACUGGCGUGAGGCCAGAGGCACCGAGGACUUCUGUAGACAUAAACACUCACAUCAUGUUUCACCUCAUUUCUAGUUUCAGUGUAACUUUCGCUAUCUGAUGGUAUUCACUCAUACACUUAGAGUUUCUGUGUUUAGGUUAGUGGAUCCAGUCACUGGUUCAUUUGUGUCAAUUCAUGCAUGGCUGGACAAAAAAGAGGGGACAUUAUCACCAGCUACUGACUGUGCAUUAGUCCAGUGUUUCCCAACCCUGGUCCUCAAGGCACAUUGCCCUGCAUGUUUUAGGUGUUUCCUUGCUUCGGCACAGGUGAUUUCAAUUAGCAGGUGUUUGGUGAACUGCAAUCAGGUGAAAGAGGUACAUUAAAGCAGGGAAAUUUCUAAAACAUGCAGGACAGUGAGCCUUGAGGACCAAGGUUGGGAAACACUCAACCUUAACUUCAUAGUACUGAACAACUUAUUGUUGUAUCAUUAAAUAAUUUUUAUUUGUCAGGUAUUAGAAAACAUUAACCAGCAUGAGGUGUGUUAUAACAUUUAGCUGAUAUAUUGUAUGUUUUAGUUAUUUUCAUUUAGGUAAGUGGGAAUGUCCUUCUAACUUAAUACAAAUAUGUAUAUCAUAAUCUAAUCUCAGUACCUCUGGGGCUCUAUGACGCCUCAGAGGUUCAGAGAAUAUUUGGGAGCAAACAGCAUCAUG